rnacentral:lncRNA from 1 species
GAGUCGGCGGUAGGAGCUUUGGACGGAGAACGCUCCGGCGAAGACGUCGGCGGGGCAGGAGGAGACAGAAGAGGCGAAGGAGCUAGAGGAGCAGGACUAUGAGCCAGAGGCGCCGGGGAAGGAGAGGUCUCCGGUGCAGGUCCAGGAGCCGGAGAAGGAGACUUUCCGAAAAGCUCCGACGGAAGAAGCAAACUGUCAACGGUGAAAAUGCAGACCGGAGGCGUAUCAAGCACAGUGGAAGCGAGUCGCGAUGAGUCCACUCCCGUGUCGAGGGUUACCGUGUCACCUGCACUCGAAACGCUCAAUUCAUACUUGAAAGCUCCGUUCGUCGCCAAUGUCGGUAACGAACCCUUCUGAGCCUUCAAUGACCCAGUGGGAUCGUAACUCCCGAGAGCAUGAUAAAGACACAAGGAAUCCAGCUCAGCGCUAGUGAGUUUGCUCAGAUCUGGCAGUUUCGCCGCCUUGAAGGCCUCAUCAGACGGCGCAAAAAUCGUCAAUCCUUUACCAGCCGCCGCCUGAUAAGUCUUAAGAACGCCAGUCUGGACAAUCAAAUUAGCAAAAGUCUUGCAGCCAGCUUUUUCCAGCAAAGCAGUAAUGUUGGCGUCGGAAGCAGACGGCGCUGGAGCAGUUAAAACCCCGGGGGCAAUAAUCGGCGCGCUGAUCUCAAUGACAGAAAUAUUGUAAGGAAUCUGCUUAACGGAUUUAGUAUAAGUGGAGUCAAGCUUGGAGCCAGGAACAGCGGAGCCGAAGCCGACUUUUCCACCUUUGAGGUCAGUGAUGUUGACGAAACCCUGAUUUCCAGGGGCAUUUCCGGUGGUUUGGUACAAUGUGGUGGAGAGAGUGGUGCCGUUAGAGAUGUCGUGGAGCUUGCCGGCGUCGUAGUAGUCGAGGACGACGUGGAGGGACAAGGCUUUUUUGACAACGGAAAGGGGAUGCUUGGCAGCGAGGGAAUCCAUGGCGGAGUUGGUUAAGACGAGGACAGUGAUGGUCUCGCGACUGUUGAUUUCGUCGGCGAGUUUUGUGUCGGUGAGGAACUUGUUGUACUCGCUGUAUUCCGGAAAUGCGGAUAGGAUUUCGGUAAUGUUGUGGGCGUAGAUGGAUGUGAAGAAGAGAGAGAAGAGGAAGAGGCGUAGAAAAACCCCCAUUGCUAUUGCUGAGCAGAGAGACAGAGCAGUGGGAGAAGUGCGAAGUGAAAGUGAAGGGGAAAGUAUCAGUGAAACGGCUAACAGAAAAGGAAGGGGAGAUUAGGAGGAAGAAAUACCACUGAAAUACUCAUGAGCGAGAAUUAACCGAGGUUAGGUUAACUAACUAGGAUCGAUUUAGAGGCAAUUUUAAAAUUUUAGUCCUUAUAUUAAGUAUUAUUCUCUUAUUUAGUCUCUCGUAUUUGAAAAUACGGCUCCGUUUGGAUUCUUGUUUUUGGGCCUGAUUUUGAAAAACUGUUUUUCACAAUCCAAGUGCUACAGUAAAUGUGUAUUUCAAAAACAACUCCAAAAACACCAUAUCCAAACAAUAUAUCAAAAACAACUCCAAAUACAUAUUUAAUAUGUUUAUUUCAAUUUGUAUAUUUCAAUUAUGUAUAGGAUAUAUAUAUUAUAUUAAUUUAAAUAUAUUUAUUUAUACAUAUUAUAAAUAUUUUAUUUUAUAUAAAAUAUAUUUUUAUAUAUUUAUAUAAAUAUUAAUAUAUUAUAUAUAUUAUAUAUAUUAUAAAUAUGUUAUUAUACAUUUAUAUAAAUGUUAUAUAUUAUAUAUAUUUAAUAUAUACAUAAUAUAUAUUAUAUAUAUUGAACAUUUAUAUAAAUGUACAUUUAAACAUAAUAUAUAUAUAUUUAUGUAUAUUUAUAAUAUACAUUUAUAUUAUGUAUUAUAUAUAAUAUAAUACAUUUAUACAUUUAUAUUAAUAUACAUAAUAUUAAUUAUACAUUUAUACAUAAUAUUAAUAAAUUUAUACAUUUAUAUUUAUUACAUUAAUACAUUUAUACAUAAUAUUAAUAUCUAUUAAUAAUAUAUUAAUUUAUACAUUUAUAUAAUAUUAAUUUAUAAUUUAUACACAUUUAUAAAUAUAUUUAUUUAUAAAUAUUUACAAAUGUAUAAUUGUAUAUUGUUAUAAAAAUAUAAAAAUUAUAAAUUAUAAAAAUACUCGAAAAUAUGUUUUAAAAAUACAUCUAAAAAUAAUCCAUAAAACAUCUACAGUAAAAGUUUUUUAUAUAAUUUUUGAAAAACAACCCCAAAAACAACUAAUCCAAACGGACUUAUAUUUGAAAAACGAAAUGCUACAGUGCUGUUUUUGAAAAACAAUCCCAAAAACAACUAAUCCAAACGGACUAUAUAGACUAGUUUAUAUUUGAAGUCAUCCUUAGUCGAAAAAAUCCCCUGAAAGAAGAAAAAAAAAUUGUGAUAAACUGUGGUUCAGUUUAUAAUUUGUUUAAUAAAUUUAAUAUCAGCUGUUGAAUUAAUCGAUACUACAAGUUAACUAAAUGGGUUGAAUUUUAUAGGUUAGUUACAGUUUUACGUUCCUUAUAUGUACUAAUAUUUUUUGUAAUUUUGUCUUCAUUAAGAGAAUAUAAGCGCGUGCGUGUCAUCAUAUCAUUUGAUAAAAUCCCAAAUUCAUACUUGGAUUAAUUCUACUUUUAAAAUCCCAAAUUCUUAGUAAGCUACUUCUAUAAUGUACUUAUAUAUUUUGUGUAUUUCACUUUAAGGUAAUGUACCCAAAUUAUAAUUCUUGAAAUCCUAGAAGAAUAGGUUUGUCUAGAUUUUAUUAGGUAGGCAAACACGACGUGCCAAAUGUAAUUAAGCAUAUAGUGUAUUAGAAUGAGAAUAAUAACAAUUAGUAUUUGAGAACUUGAGAGACUUAAAAUGCAAUUCUUUCAGUGGAUUAAAGUGAUGAAGAUUGGUUUGGUAAGUUAACCUCGGUUAGUCUGGAAAUGGAAUUUUGGGAUUUGGCUGGCCGCUGGCAUGUGGGGUAUCUAACAGGGUAGAAUAGAAACUUGAGGAUGACAAUGGAUCGUCUUAUUUGGAGAACAGCUGGAAAUAUGGAGUAGAUGGCUUUUGUUUGUGCUCUUCUUCUCAUCUUUUUUUGAUUUAAAAUGCCAGGAAUGUCCUUGUCUCUUCUUGUCUGGUUGGGCGACCUUUGGCCUUCCCGGUUUCUGUUGUUUGUUUUGGCUUUGGGUCAAUACUCAUUUAAAGGAGGAAAUGGAAAUGGAAUAAUGAAAUAAUGAAAAUUCGGGACCUUUUUUGUUUUGCUUAAAGGGAGUGGAAUGAAGGGCAGGAGAAAAUAAUAAUAAAUAUGCCCCCCAACGGUAACGCUUUUCCACAACUUGUGUCCUAAGUUUGAUGAGGUGUUGCAUGCUCUGAUCAAAAUGUCGAAUUCAUGUGUACAGUUAUUUCCCUGUUCAGUUAAUCACUUGUAUAAUCCAUUAAUGGCAUUAGGAACCGUUUCAAGGAAAUUGCGGUUCAUUAUGAAUCACAUGGCCAAAUUUGUAGAAUUAAAGAAAGUAUGCCAGCACUUGAUUUGGAAUUCCUUCUCGUUGAAAUUUGUGAUUUGCAUGCCUAAUGGAAAAGAGUUAUUGACAUAAAAAAAUAUGGGAUAAUUUCAGAAAUUUCCCUUGAGGUUUCUAGUAAUUUCAGACAGCUCCCCUCGUGUUUUAAAAAGGGUUAAUUCCACUUUGUCCCCUCAAACUUUGGGCGAUUACCCACUUCAGUCCCUUAACUUCAAAAUGGGACACUUAAAUCCCUAAACUUAUGAAUUGCUCCCAGUUAAGGAAAAUUGUUGACAGAAUCCUGAUUGCCGUUGGUGGUCAAAGUGCGUGGCAAACACUGUCCUUUGACUGAGGGCAACAAUGAAAAUUCACAAAAAAUCACAUAUAUAGAUUAAAAAAAAAUGGUGAAAUAUGGAGGGAAAGUUUCCCUCCAUGCUACCCACUUCAGAUGGAUAAUGUAGACCCGAUCCAAAUCAUAAAAGGGCACUUCAGGUCGGUAUGCUGAGAGACCCAAGCUGUCAUUCUGCUAUCCACAGGGCAGGAAGAAGAAAAGGAGAACCCAACGCAUGGUUCAACAAACAAAGAGAAAUGGUGAGGCAAUUUUGUGAUUGUGGAAAGCAAACAUUGAUGAUGACAUCAUGGACUGCCAUGAACCCAGGAAGAAGGUUUUGUCGAUGUGCCAAGUACAGAGUAAGGGAAAUUAGGGUUUUGUGUUUAUACUUGUUUUUUAUUUUGGGUUUGUAUGAAUUGCAGCCACCUAAUCUUGUCUGCAAACAUAAUGUUCUUGUCAAACUAGGAACAAGGAGGCUGCAUAUACUGGGAUUGGGUUGAUCCUGAGAUGUGUCAAAGGUCAAAAGAAAUAAUACCUGGACUGCUAAGGUCGAUGAACAAGAUGGAAGCUGAGUUGGAUAGGUUGAAAGAAAAUUCAAGGUGCCAACAAUCGAAAGUAAGGAAGCUAAGGAUGUACUUGAUUAUCCACUGGGUUGCCAUUGUCAUGUGGUUGUUUUUGUUCAAAUCUGGGGGAGAAGGUCCAAAAUGAGUUGUAGAAGAAGCAACCGCUUAUGCCGGACUGCCCGUUUUGUUUGCUCAAAUAUGGGACCACCUUUGUCUGUCAUUGCUAAGUAGUGGACCUUUUGAGUGGUGCAGGAAGGAAAUUCUUGCUUUUGCUGACUAUGUAAUUACCAGCACUUUCAGAAUCCCGCUUGCGGGUUUCAGCGUUUUAUGCUGUCGGGAUGUUAACCAUCUUGCUUGUGAACAUGUGCUACAUUGCUUUGAAUUUUUGUGACAGGUGAAAGCUUUGUCUGAUGAAUGUAUUUGUGAAAUGACCUGAGUGGUGGUAGAUGGGUUAAUUGGGUCGGUCGCGUUACCCAAUUAUUUAUAUCCAUAAGUAAAAUUUUAAGAUUCGCAUACCCAUCUAUUCAUGGCCGGUAUGGGUAAAUGUAGUUCAAUAGAAAUGUCAAAAAACGAGUUUGACAACCCAAUUGCUCGUUUACAACCUAUUUAUUCUAACUUUUUACAAAUUCGUCUAAAUUAAUUUUGAAAACUUAACUGCCAAUUUAUACAACCCUUUUUUUUAACUGUCAUUAAUUUAAAUAUUGACUUAUAAUGCCCAAAAAGCCUAAUUACCAAUUUUUUCUUCUCGCUAUCAAAUAUAAUAUUAACCCGCAUGCGAGGUAACAAUGAAAUAGUAAAAAGACAGAAACCCGCUUGCGGGUUUCAGCGUUAUUAUGCAGGCGGGAUUUUAACCUGCUUGCUUGUGAACAUGUACCACAUUGCUUUGAAUUUUUGUGACAGGACGAAAGCUUUGUCUGAUGAAUGUAUUUGUGAAAUGACCUGAGUGGUGGUAGAUGGGUUAAUUGGGUCGGUUGCGUUAUCCAAUUAUUUUUAUCCAUAUUUUUAUCCUAAUUACCAAUUUUUUCUUCUCGCCAUAAAAUAUAACAUUAACCCGCAUGCGAGGUAACGUUGAAGUAGGAAAAACACAGAAUCCCGCUUGCGGGUUUCAGCGUUAUUAUACAGUCGGAAUUUUAACCAUCUUGCUUGUGAACAUGUACCACAUUGUUUUGAAUUUUUGUGACUGGUGAAAGCUUUGUCUGAUGAAUGUAUUUGUGAAAUGACCUGAGUGGUGGUAGAUGGGUUUUAAAUGUAUUGUAUCAAAUUUAGGGAUAUAGUGGACCUGCUAUGUCCCAUAAUUGUGAACGUUGGACCUGCUAUGUAAUCAGAAUUUGUUGUUUAGGGAUUUUAGUGUCCCAAUUUGUAAAGUUUAUUGCAAGUAAUCUAUGUCACAUUAACAACAGCAAUCAACUCAGAACAUAAAAUUUUCAGCAAAAACCUUUGAUCAUUCAACAAAUCAUCCAAUACAUAAUAGCAAUACCAGGAAUGACAAAAAUUCCACAUUAACAGCCUCUAAAUUUCACCCAUCUGGACUAGCAAGACAAAGGCUAUAUGAGUUCCACAACAGAGGCUACCAAAAACAGAGGCUAACAAAAAUUCCAUAUUAACAAAAAAAUUCUUAGUUCCAAUGGACUAUAUGAGUUGAACAAAAGUUCGCCACAUCUGGACUAGCAAAACAGAGGCUUUUACUGCCCAAUUUGAUUGUAUCUGCAAAAUAAAAAAGGCUAUAUGCCUGUACAAUUCUUGAGUUGGUUUGUCCAGCAUCAGUUAGUUCAUGCUUGAAGGCUAUUUGGCCUAUUGCUGCAAUUUUCCCAACUUAACAGAUUGGUUUCCAUCCCCAUGGAGCUGCACAUUUUCAAUUCCAAGUGACUCCUUCGCAUGUCCCGCAGCUGUCUGUAAUGUAGACAGGUUAACACACAAAUUGCCUUGCCAUGUGAAUUGUGCUGGCUUAAGUCCACUGCUGGAAUGAGAGGCUGUCCCCAAGUCCACGUAUGAGUGUGGUGCUCUCAUCGUUACUCCGUGGCUGUGGGAAUAAAGUUUGCGACCAUCAGCUUUGGAGCUUAACUGCAAACAAGCACAUAACAUGAAUCAAUAAGACAUGACACCCAUAAAUAAAGACCUGAUGUAUGGAGACCACUUACAUGAGUUGUUGUAGGACUCUUUUCCACAUGCCCAGAACUAUUUUGAGCAUGAUUAUAUGGGUUUUCCAGAUCAUCAGACCGUAUUUUUACAGUUUUGAAUCCCAAGUCUCCAGUCAUGUCCAGUGAGCUCCUAAAGGUCCAUUGCCUCAACUUACAACUAUUCUUUGAGUGACCAUGCUUACGACAAAAUGAGCAUUUUCUUCCUUUCUUUGUCACUGGUUCUUGUGCCCCUUGUUUUGGCUGAUUGGCAUCCAAAUUUUGAGAUGGACCUGUGUGACUCUGUUGCGUACUUACUCCAAGUAUGUCAACGGUCACAUCACUUGGACAAGCCUCGUUAGUACUUGGCUGCAUAGAUGGGCCUGUAUCUCCAAUAUCACUGUUCUCCUUUGCUGAACUUGUAGUUGUCCCCUCAGUGGUUUGCUUAUUUUUAUCCGGACAUCCUCUUUUGUUAUGUCCGUAUUUUUUGCAGCGGCUGCAGCUCAUCAUGGUGCCAACCUUGCUAACCUUGUGAGGUUUAGUUGGAUUGACACAGCUGUCCCGUCUGUCUUCUUCUGAAGCCUUUUUUCUCAUUUUCUUUGGCCUUCCAGCAAAUCUUCUAUAAGUCGGAGGCUUCAUUGCUGGAAGGUCUAUGUGCUCCCACAAAUUAGGACCAUUGAUUGGAUUAAGUACAGGUUCAUAACUUUGUAGAUACGUGAUCUUCAAGUAGGUGUUGGAAACAUGCUUCUCUGGUGCUUCAUGUCUCCUGUUGAUGGCAGCUACAGCAUGGCCACAUGGUAUUCCCCUUAAUUGCCACUUUCUACAUGAACAGGUUUUGGCAGCCAUGUCAACAAUAUACUGC